UACAGAGGUCCCAAGCGUUGUUCGGAUUCACUGGGCGUAAAGGGUGCGUAGGUGGUGAGGUAAGUCGGAUGUGAAAGCUCCGAGCUCAACUCGGAAAUGGCAUUGGAAACUACCUUGCUAGAGGGUUUGAGGGGGACUGGAAUACUUGGUGUAGCAGUGAAAUGCGUAGAUAUCAAGUGGAACACCAGUGGCGAAGGCGAGUCCCUGGAAAACUCCUGGCACUGAGGCACGAAAGCUAGGGGAGCAAACAGG
rnacentral:rRNA from 1 species